ACAAGCAGCUGUAAUGUGUUUAGGUCCUAGCCACACUUGUGUUACAGAAACUGAUAUUUCCCCACCUCUGUUUUGAAUAAUGUCGUGCACACCAGGGCCCUGUUCCAGGAAAGUGGGUUAUGUGAAAACUCAAAGUAUGUUAACCCUGAGAUGAGCAAAAUUCGGGGUUUUCUGUUCGAGAAGGGGAGGCAAGUCAAACUCUGAGUCUGUCAGCAUGGUAAUGUCCUCCAUGAACAUAACCUCACUGGCAGGUUUUCUAUAAGAAACCCUGAGUUUCAUCUGUCUCCUCCCAAGUGAAACGUACUGGAAGACAUGGGUUGUCCAUAUGAAUGCAAUCCUAUACAUUUUGAAGCGCAAUGAACACAAAAUGUGUUAGGCCGGGAGAGGAUUUUCAGAUCUCGGUUAGAUGCAUUUUCAUAUCCUGAUGAAUAUCUCAUCGAACGGUACCGAUUUUCGUUGCAGUCGCUUCAGUGCCUUAAUAAUAUUCUUGGCCCAUCCAUAUAACUUAUUACACAUCGAGAACAUGCACUGACAUCACAGACAGUUUUGUGCAUUGUGCUGCUUUUUUUUUUUUUUUUUUUUCCUAAUGGAAGAUUUCUCUCCAAUAUCCACAAUAUUGGAGACGCAGAACAUUUUAGCAAGUCAGCGGUGUGUUGUAUUACAAAGCAAGUCACCCUGGCACUGGAAAAACACGUCGCCCAUGAUGGUGGUGUUCCCCAGGCACAAACUUCUGAGGAACAUCAGAGGAAUUCCACAGGACUGCAGGUCUACCAAAUGUCAUUGGGUGUGUGGACAGAACACAUUCCUGUCACUGCUCCAGCCAAAAAUGACAGGUCCUUCUGCAGCAUUAACGUCCAAGUAUCUUCAUUACUAUAGUGAAAAUGACUGUAUGCAUUGCAAUAUGCAGCAGCUAAUAAUGCCAUUCUCUGCACUAUCAAGCUCAUUUGUGAUGCUGCACACAUCUUCACCAAUGUAGAAGUCAAGUGGCCUGGCUCUGUACAAGACUUGCGCAUUUAUCGGGGGUGUAGCCUAAGCAACAGAUCAGUGCGUGGAGCGACUGAUGGGUACCUACUGGGAGACAGUCCAUGUUGGGCCCCCAACAGUGUUUGUGGCCCACUGCAGGACUAGAGCCCAGGUUGAGAUGACCAUAGGCCAGGGAUUAAAGUUCUCCGUCACCACGACGGAUUUCCGUCAAAUGGAAAAAUUGA